GUUCGUUGCGUAGUAACUAAAUGAUGCUUUCCCAUGAUUUGUAUUUACUCUGGGAAUCACUAACAGAUUGGUACCUGGUUCCCAAACUUCUCAGCUCUUCUCUGCAAAAAGGAUUAUUGGUUGUGACCUGGGGUCAUGUGAUUGUCGGCCGACCAACUAACUGAUUAAUCAGGAAGUAAAUAAGGGCCGUUUGAAGCCCCAAUGAGGUGACAUUUGUCUCCAUAGAUCAGUGGCAGUGACGUCCUUGCAGAGUGUGGACCUGGUGAAUGCAGAUUACAUUACAUGUCAUUUAGCUGACGCGUUUAUCCAAAGCGACUGACAUUGCAUUUUUAACCCGUACCAACCUUGCGGUUCUCGGCGCACCCCAGAUGACCCCAGAUGACCCUUAGCAGUUACUGCACACCACAGGAGGACUCUGGGUAAAACAGCGCUUGAACCCAUCGUAAUCGGAUGGUUUGUCAUCCUUAAGUUCAGCUCGGUGAGAUUCAGCCGACACCUACUCUGUCUCGACAGGAACGGAGGAUGUAACCCAACACCGGGUCCGCCGUUGCCACGGAUACACAGCGUUCUGUCUGUCGGUGGCACCAUAUAGGGCAAGUACGGUCUCGUUAAUGCGGCAGGCGUAUUCGCACCACUUGUUUCACACGCUUAAGUUGGAAAUUCAGGUUGACACCGUUUCAUCAACCGUCAAAGUGAUGAGAAGCUUUUGCAUCAUCCAAAAAGACCUGUUUGGGAGUUGACUGUGAGGGACAUGCUGCCGAUCAACGUACCUGGUCAUAUAUUUCCCUUUGUUGCUCGGUGACUGGUGGCUGGCAUACACGCACACCCACAAUUAAUCACACAACCGUCUGUGUGUGUUUGCGUGGCAAUCAAAAAACAGUUUUCCGAAUGCCGCCGAGAUCAGAAAGAGACAGACAAAGACACGCUUUGCCCCAUGCGGAGAGAUGUGAAGUCAAUGAUGUGUCGUGCAAUAAUGGAGUCACAUUUCUGCCUCAUUUGUGCGGCCAAAAACUCCCGGCAACUCGCAGCUCGUCUCCGCUCGCGCGCCUCGCCGCAUCCCGUCCGCGCACGCACAACCUCGCAAGCAGCCGUGACGCGCGGGAGGAGGGAGAACGCGGAGGUCAGAGAAAAAAGGAGGCUCCUGACGGAAGGUAAAAAGAAGGUUGUGGGGCCUCGGAGCCUAAAGCCGGCGGGGGGCGGCGUUGGAUUGUAAUGCAGGGGUCAGUUAUGUUGUGUUUUAAGUUGUCAGCGGCCGAUUUCCACAACGGAAACUAACAAAAAUCUCAAAAUGUUGAGCGUCUGAGCAGUUUGGCCAUAGGAUAUGUCGCAUUCUUUUGCCGUGUGUCAGAAAUGUUUAUGUGUGUGUGUGUGUGUGUGUGUCUGUGUGUGUGUGGGGUAUCUGCAUACUGUGGCUUCCUGGUGUGCAGGAUGCAUGUGGGGGCAGAGACAAAGCACCUGGCUGAAAAGGUGAGUCACAGAAGCAGGUAAUUGCUCUGACAUUUACUUCUAAUGAAGGAUUGGGACGAUAAUGGGACCUAUUUGCAUUAGUAGAAAAAAACACACACACACACACACACACACGUAGAGGCAACAAACGCACACAUGCACACUUAAAGAGUCCUCCUCAACACUUAGCACAGUGCAAAGCUGCGCUCCAGAGCCUGACUCACACACAUUACGCGCCAAUGCGGAGGAGGGAGAAAGUGCAUCGAGGCCUCAGACGAGACGACGGUGAAGAGGACGAGCGCGGCGCAGCGGGGACGAAGGACAGGAGGGGAGACGAGGGGAGAGAGGUCACCGACGCGGGAGACGCUGACCCAUUUUCUCCCCCCCCUCCCCUCCCCUCUCUCUCUCUUCCAGGUGUUUUGUGUGACCGUCUUGCAAAGGCAGGACGGGGAUCUCUGCUCUUUCGUUCAGUCAAGGUGUUCUGUGGGAGCCGCAAGACGUGAUGCUCGAAUCCUGUGGAAAAAGAGGUGUUUCUUUAAAAAAAAGAAGAAAAAAAAAAUGUCAACGGCUGAAAAGCACAAAGAGCAAAACAGACGCGGCCUUGGGAACCGAGAGGAAAAAAUAUAGUUUUUUUUAAAAAUGAAGUGAGAGGCGGUAAGACAGUUAGAAAAAAAAAAAAGAAAAGAAAAGUGAGAGCGAGAAAGAAAGAAGUGCAUUUCCCCGACAUGAGUCACUUCUGAGUGAAAGCUUUGUAAUUUAAGCCGCACGCAGCGAAAGAAAGAACGAAAGAGGGACAGAUGCAGCGGCACCGACGUGGAGAGACGUGGACAUUUACCCAACGCCGACAACAGCAGCACCGUGCGUUCCUGACGUUACAAAACCAUCUGGGUUAAUUCCAAUUUAAAACAGUGCCACAGAACAGGUGGACUCCACAUUAACUGCACGUUGGCGUUCCUCUAAAGUGGAUGUGGUCCACGGUGUCUCUCACACUUCAACCACCACAUCCUCCCGUGGAGCUUCAUUUAUGCACAUUGAAAAGACAAGCGGACGCCGACAGGACGCAGUUUGUCAUUUCGGAUCAUGGUUGUAAUUGUUAUGUAAUUGUUAUAAUGUUUAAUGCGAAAAAGUUCCAGCGAGUGUCCCCGAAUGUCUUCGGGCAGGACUUAGUCAAGUAUCAAGUAUCAAGAGUCAAAUAUUGACAGUGGGACCAUUUUCGACAAGGAAGUAAUAUCUCGUAUGGAAAGUUUCCGUCGAGGGCUUUCUAGAUAAAUAGAAACCAAUGCGUGUCAAUGCGACGAUAACUGGCGUAAUCAACUGAAUCAACGGGUUUAACAGUGGAGGCGUGUCUGCAGACAAUAAUACAGAUAAGCUCAAUAAUACAGAUAAGCCUUAAUUGUUUGUUUUUGUACUCAACACGGCAAAAUUGAUUCUGCUUUAAUGUCAGUUCUUGUAUUUAUUGUAUCUUUGUUGAUGAGUUUGCCAGAAGUUUUAUACCUGAUAACCGUUCCGAUGUCUCCGUACUGGAUGCAAAUACCACUUUAUAUAUUAAAUACACAAAAAUACAAAAUACUAUUUGAAGGAUGCUGCGUCACCAGGAACAAACAUGGAAAA